rnacentral:lncRNA from 1 species
AAAAGGCCCAGAGCCAAAGGGAUCCGAGUCAUCAAAAGCAGGAAAACCAUGAUCAUAAUCCACACUGUUGCGGACAGAAUCAAAUCGGACCGGUGUUUCCCGAGCAGGUAAAGAUGCACUAUCAUGUGUGCUAAAUGAAUCAAAUCGGACUGGUGCUUCCCGGGCAGGUAAAGACGCACUAUCAUGUGUGCUAAAUGAAUCAAAUCUUGAAAAAUCAAAAGCGUUUUCCAACCAGUCUUUAGGCUUUUGUGGGGAGCUACCCGAGCUGAAAAGUGGGGUGCUUGGAACAGAAUCAUCAAAACUGAACCCACUUGUCUUCUGGAAAGGACCACCAGCCUGUGCUGACGCUGUUUUAAUGGGGUUAAGGCCCAGGUCUCCAGAACCAAAGAAAUAGUUGUCUCCGGCUCCAUCAAGAUCUUUCUCCUGUAAUAAAAAGUAAAAACAAAUGUCCAAAAGCAAUCAGUAAGAAUAUAUAAGGAUGACAUCUAACCCUAUGAGUUUGAUACUAAGAAACAGUCAUAAAAUCUUAUUAAAGCUAUAAAUUCAUAAUAACCAAAUGACCAUGAUUUGCAUCAGUCAUAAGUAUUGUGUAACUAUCGAAAUCUCCAGAACCUCCAAGUCAUAUUCUCCACAGACACAUGGAAACUAAUAUCAAACAAUAAAAUUUAAUAGUAAUUACAAUGAGUUUCCAAGAAAUUCGAGAGUCUUGGUUCUCUCCCUUCCAAGAAUUUGAGAGCUUGGUCUCUCCCUCCCAAACAUAACCUCUUUCUAAUUUACAGCCUCACCAGACCAUGGUUUUGUUUUCCUUUUUAUUCUACCUAAGUUUUGUAACUGCUCCUAAUAAUAAUAAUUGUUACUCUAAUAAUACUAAUGGCUACAGAUAACAUUUAAUCAAAGUUGUUAGAUCAAGAUCUUACAUAAAAUCGGAAGAGUAUAUCAAAAUUGUAAAAUAUAAAAUCGUAAUUAAGAUCGCAAGAUUCUACUCACUUAUUUUUAUAGAAUCGAUAGGGUAUAACAAAACCGUAAAACAUAAAAUCGUAAGAUUUUACCAAAAUAAUAUAUAUAUAUAUAUAUAUAUAUAUAUAUAUGAUAUAUUAUAUAUAUAUAUAUAAUUAAAAAGAAAAGAAAAGAAAGGAUAUAAAAAUAAUAUGAAAAUAAAACAAAAAAAAGGAAAAGAAAUAGUAGUUAUUAAAAUUUCAAAACAAAAAAUAAUUUAAAAAAGGAGAUAUGUGUGGUGGCAUGUUUGCAAUGUCGUGUCAGUCACAAUGCCACAAUGCAUAAGAGAAAGGUUAAUUUGUGAAUAAAGCCAAUUCAAGUCACCUUUUAAAGGCUGACCUAUCACGUGACUCUAAAAUACUUUUUUUUUUCAAAAACAAAAGCAAAAAGCAAAACAAAAACGAACAUGAAGAAUAAAUCUAAAGAUGAAUGUUUCAGAAGGUAAAACUGAAAACGUAGAUAAACGUAAAUGAAAUGGACAAUGAAAAAUGCAGGUGUAGACAAAAAUGAAGCUCAGAUUCAUUUCAUAUUUCUAAAAAUUGUCUGAUUUCAGAAUCGGGUUGCAAACCGGGUCAAGUUGAUCCAGGUAAUUAAAGCUCAGGAUACUGCAAUAUUUCUAAAAAUAGUCAGAUUUCACAAUAUGUUUACCAAAACCGAGAUUUUUGCCGCAAUUUUCGCUAUUGUAAGAUCUUGAUUGCAAUCCAGAUCGGUGGAGGUGGUUGAGAUCGCAAAAUCGUGCGAUUCCACGAUCCGGAACGCGAUUUUGAUAACAUUGUAUUUAAUAAGGCUGCUCAUAUGCUUGUCACUAACAGAAUAGAACAGCCACAUUCUGUUUUCAUUCCAAGUAAUUCCUAAGGUCUAACAAUACUCCCCCCUAAACUAUCACCUUGUCCUCAAGAUGAAAGAAAAUACACAGGAGAAAAAAUAUAUCCUCCCGGAUCCCAUAACUUGAAGCAGAAGGAUUGAGUUGUACAUGAAAUAUAAAAAACUCCUCCCGGAUCAAAUUGUCUUGCUACCAGCAGCCCUCCGGUGAAUGGUUGCUGGGGCGAUGGCGAUAUCGGCAAUGGAACUUUCUCGUUACCAGACUUUAUCUUAGGAAUAUCAGUAAACACCACUGUGUCGAUGUAAACACCACUGUGCCGAUGUAAACACCACUGUGCUGAUGUAAACACCACUGUGCCGAUGUCGGGUGAUUUUAACAAUGGAGAUUGUUGAUCUAAACAUUCCGGUAGUGUCCUCUCAUUUGAUUCUUCAUCCUCUAUUGAUUCGGUUUUUGACCCAAAUUUCUUGAAAACUGCAUCUUUAAAAUUUCCCCAAGUGGAACUUGGUACCAUGCGAGGACUUUACCACUCAUCCACUGUGCAAUUUUUGGUAUUUGAUCUUCUUCUUUACAUACACCUCCUGCAUCAAAAUAUUUUUCAACCUUGAUCAUCCAUCCAACAACAUCCCUUUCUUCAACGAUUGGUAUUUCUAAUCGUAACUCUGAGUUCUCUUCUCCAAUCUCUAAUUUCUUUCAACACUUCAUCAACAAGGUCAAACAUUCCUUCAAUUCUUGAUGACAACUCCAUUUUUUCUCUGUUUUUUUUAUAUUUCCUCUCCCGGAUCAGAAGUGCUCCGAUACCAGUUGAUAGAAACUAAUAUCAAACCAUAAAAUUUAAUAGUAAUUACAACGAGUUUCCAAGAAAUUCGAGAAUCUUGAUUUUCUCCCUUCCAAGAAUUCGAGAGCUUGGUCUCUCCCUCCCAAAUAUAACUUCUUUCUAAUUUUCAGCCUCCCCAGAACACGGUUUUGUUUCCCUUUUUAUUCUACCUAAGUUUUGUAACUGCUCCUAAUAAUAAUAAAUGUUACUCUAAUAAUACUAAUGGCUGCUCUUAGACUCUCUAACUGCUACAAAUAACAUUUAAUAAGGCUGAUCCAUCCUCAUCUGUCUAGAAAAAUCCUAUGAUAUAAGGUACCACAAGAAGUCAGAAGGGCUCUAAUGAUUGAGGAGUACAUAUAGCCCAUGAUAAAAUAAAACUACAAAGGAUAUGUAGUUAAGGGAAGGAUUUAUACUAACGGAGGUAUCAACUAUUGGAGAUAUAAUAUAUAAAUAGAUUUGCACUAAGGGCCAAAAGCCAAUGCCUCAAUGAAUAUUCUCAAAUGGCAAUGUAGUCCUAAUUGAUGAUUCAAGAGAAGGAAUAAUCAAUUAAAAAGUCGAAUUGAGGAAAACUGACUAUGCAAUGAUAUAUGAUCAAAGGUUUUUCUAUCUCUAGAAUUCAUAUUUUGAGGUGAUUUAUUCAGUUUCAAGCCACAAAAUAAUGUUUAUUAGGAGAAGUUUAGUUUAGCUGAGCCUUGCUGUGUAUAUUUUGCAUCACUAAUCUUUUUCCUCAAUGUGCAUACUUCAGAUGGUGAGUUUUGUAUUGCUGUGUACAUUUUGCAUCAAUAAUCCCUUUUUCCCAAUAUGCAUACAUCUGAUGGUGGGUUUUGUAUUGAUGUGUGGUCUCAACUAUUGAGUUGACUUGAUACAAAACUGGUGAAAUCUCCGUAGUCUCAACUAUUGAGUUGACUUGAUACAAAAAUAUAACACAAACACAAGAUAGGUACAUACUUAGCAGUAGGACACACAAAAUAUAACAAAUUCAAAAUCGAUGAACAUGGUUCAAAAUUACUAAAAACAAAGGAUUGUGGGACUGCUUCCCUCCUUGGGGCUGGGAUUCAACUCGGAAGAGCUAGGUUCAUUCACCACAUUGGCGUGUUGAGUUCAUCGCUAACUUGUAAUGACGGGUUUAUUCUGAUUUUCUGGUUUGUGACUAUGUGGGGAGCUGAGGAGUUGACACUAAAUAACACAGCGGUCACCUAUGAGCUCGUAUUGGGAUAUCAGGUGCAUGCGAGGAAUUGAGUGCUGCACUGUGAGGUUAACAUUUUAUGCAGUACAGAUCCUUAUCAUGCAGCUGUUGCAUUUUGGAUUUUAGAAAAAUAAAAAACACAUUUUAGGAAAAAUAACCAUUAUGUUGUAGACUUGUUCAAUCAUCCACUAACCCAGAGUCCAUGUGAAUCCAACCAAGUUUGUAAAAACUAUAGUACAUGUGAGUUAUGCCAACUUGGAUAACUAGAGCCAUAAACUCAGGAAUGUAUAAAUCAAACUGAUAGUCAAACAACCAUGGCGUUGACUGUACGGAAUGGUGACCUAUUCCUAGUAAACAUCAGCACAGCCUUGCCUUUUGACCCAUAGCUAUGGAAUGUUUUGACUAACUCAUCUACAUGUGCAUCAUCCUAACCCUCUGACACAGCAUUGUCUCUAGCAGUGCUCUUUUUUCGCAAACUUUAUUUGAGAGCCCUUUAUUGGGAAGCCUAUUGAAAUUGUAUGUUUUGUAAUCUUAAGAGUUAUUAUGUUUUUACUUUUUUCUGUGUAGGUUUAUUUAUAACUAGCUUUUUCUUGACUAAAAUUGUAAUAAGCUGAGAUCUUAGUAAUCUUCAAUUUGAGGAAAGGUAUUAUACUUUUCAUAUUAUCACUUUUGGGUACGAAGUCUUAUCAUGUUGAGUAAAGGUACUAGUUUUGCAACAUUUCCUAGAAUACCGGUAUAUAUAGGUGUGCUAGACUAUCCAGUCAGUGUGAAAUGCAGUAAUUAAACUACCAACAUUAGCGAUGAAAAGUUAGAAUAUAGCAGUAGAAAUGCAGUAAUUAAACCACUAACAUUGACGAUGGAAAGUGAGAAUAUAGAAGGAGAAGUUUAGACAGAUGCAUCUUUCAAAAGAAGAAAGAAUUUUGCUGAAACAAUACAUUAAAGAUGAGAACUUGCAUACCCCAUGAGUGAUGCUACUGGCACUGAAUCCCCAAACUGAAUCAAUAUCAUCAUUUGCGUCAAAGGUUCCCCCCCAAUGAGAUUCAUCAAAAACUUUGUC